GGGCUUGUAGCUCAGUGGAUUAGAGCAUAUAGCUACGAACUAUAAGGUCAGGGGUUCGAAUCCCUUCUAGCCCU
rnacentral:tRNA from 1 species